rnacentral:lncRNA from 1 species
AUUAUUCCAAUUUACCCCUUCCGCAUCCUCUGUCCAGCAAAGUCCAGCAGCCAUCUUUCUUCUCUUUUUUCUAUCCCCAAAUCGGCAGGUUCCGAACCCUAGCCACCGCCGCGGGUCCUCAGGCGCGUUCCACAGCGUGGCGUCGCGGCACCAGCGGCCGCCGCCCCCUCGCUCGAGCGGAGCACUCCUCCAAUCCCGCACCGCACGCGCGCCUCGCUCCCUCCUUGCCCGGCCUGGCGGCCUCGCUCCCUCCCUGCCCGUCUCGUCUUCUGGAGGUGCCAGCACGCCUCCAGCUCGCCCGGUCCCGCCUUGUCCUCCCGGCGCAGGGGCCGGCGACCUGAAGGAUCGGCGGCGCCCUCACCACCGAAGCUGUUUGCGCGUUUUGCACCCUGUCGUCUUUAUUGGAGCAAGCAUAAGUCUGACGUUGUCACCUCAAGUACCUCGGAUCUUCUUCUUUAUUUUUGAAAGACGGCACCUCUGAUCUUCAUGUGAGCUGAAUUCUGCAUCGUACUCAGCUCGUAUCUUGGUUUGCAGAUGAGUUUGCUAUUUGGUUGCGUUUGCUUAUACUUGGCCAUCUGAUGUGCUUUUCUUGAGUGAAAGCAUCUGAUGUGCUUUGGAUGGUUGAUACUAGUCGCUGUCAGAAAGCAAUCAGGUGUCUACCGUACAAAAUGGGUGCCACUCCGGUCAAGUUCCGCCACCGAUGCGCCGUGCGUUGUAUAUGUACUGGAGUCUUCCUUGUUAUAUGCAGAUAAAGUAUUGUUCUUGAUUGUAAUGGCGUAGAAGGGAUAUCAUUCAUCUUUUUUCUUGUAGGGUAGUAUUGUCUUUUCCCUCUUGAGUUAACACUUGUGCUAUGACAGCAAUGGCACACGAGGGAUGGAGUUAAAUUUUGAUGGCAUGUAAGGGGUAAAGGGGGAUUUUCUCCAUGAAAAAUGCCCUUAUUCUUUCAAUUAUUUUUAAAGAACCCUGAGCCGGACCCAGAUAGGUGCAUGAGCUCAAAAGCAGCUUCGUUUUACAGCACAUCGGGGUGUACCGUAAGCACAACCGGGUUCGUUCCACGGUGUCACUGUGACGGAUGGCUACUUGUUUAUGGUUGAAUUGGCAGUGCGGGGCUGUUUGGUUGUGAUCCUGGAG